GUAGUCUCGCACAGAUGCAUAUCAAUAAGCGGAGGAAAAGAAACUAACAAGGAUUCCCCUAGUAACGGCGAGUGAAGCGGGAAGAGCUCAAAUUUGAAAUCUUAAAGGGUUUCCCUUUACGAAUUGUAGUUUAAAGAAGUGUUUUCUGUUGAGGUUUUGGUAAAAGUUCUUUGGAAUAGGACAUCAUAGAGGGUGAGAAUCCCGUAUUUGACCUUUACUUUCAACUUUGUGAUACACUUUCAAAGAGUCGGAUUGUUUGGGAAUGCAGUCCAAAAUGGGUGGUAAAUUUCAUCUAAAGCUAAAUAUUGGCGAGAGACCGAUAGCGAACAAGUACCGUGAGGGAAAGAUGAAAAGAACUUUGAAAAGAGAGCUAAACAGUACGUGAAAUUGUCAAAAGGGAAGCGUUUGACACCAGUGUUGUUUUUCUGGAAAUCAAUUAAAGAACUGUUUAUGCUAAGCUGUUUAGACUUUAUCAGCUAAUCUGUUUAGUUUUGAGCUUUUCUUUAAUGCACUUUUCAGUUAACAAGUCAACAUCAAUUUCUUUUGCUGUAAAAAAGCUUGAGGAAGGUGGCUUGAGAUUCGUCUUAAGUGUUUAUAGCCUCUUGCCUAUGCAGUCGGAGAGAUCGAGGUCUGCAGCGUAGAUCCUUCGGGGCUAAAUGCAUUUGUGCUAAGUUAUAGCAUUUUAUAGACAACUUGUUGACUAUGAUUUGUCUUGUAGCUUACUCGCUUAUGUUAUUUUACCUACGCUUAGGAUGUUGAUAUCGCGCUCUCACUG
rnacentral:rRNA from 1 species